rnacentral:rRNA from 1 species
UACGUAGGGUGCAAGCGUUGUCCGGAAUUAUUGGGCGUAAAGAGCUCGUAGGCGGUUCGUCGCGUCGGCUGUGAAAUCCCGAGGCUCAACCUCGGGUCUGCAGUCGAUACUGGCGGACUGGAGUUCGGCAGGGGAGACUGGAAUUCCUGGUGUAGCGGUGAAAUGCGCAGAUAUCAGGAGGAACACCGGUGGCGAAGGCGGGUCUCUGGGCCGAUACUGACGCUGAGGAGCGAAAGCGUGGGGAGCGAACAGG